rnacentral:rRNA from 1 species
GAUGAACGCUGGCGGCGUGCCUAAUACAUGCAAGUCGAGCGAACAGACGAGGAGCUUGCUCCUCUGACGUUAGCGGCGGACGGGUGAGUAACACGUGGAUAACCUACCUAUAAGACUGGGAUAACUUCGGGAAACCAGAGCUAAUACCGGAUAAUAUAUUGAACCGCAUGGUUCAAUAGUGAAUGACGGUUUUGCUGUCACUUAUAGAUGGAUCCGCGCCGCAUUAGCUAGUUGGUAAGGUAACGGCUUACCAAGGCGACGAUGCGUAGCCGACCUGAGAGGGUGAUCGGCCACACUGGAACUGAGACACGGUCCAGACUCCUACGGGAGGCAGCAGUAGGGAAUCUUCCGCAAUGGGCGAAAGCCUGACGGAGCAACGCCGCGUGAGUGAUGAAGGUCUUCGGAUCGUAAAACUCUGUUAUUAGGGAAGAACAAAUGUGUAAGUAACUAUGCACGUAUUGACGGUACCUAAUCAGAAAGCCACGGCUAACUACGUG